rnacentral:lncRNA from 1 species
GUUCCUUAAUAGAUUCCUGUAAUCAUGUACUUAAGGAGAAAUGUUUGUAUAAAAUUAGAAAGAUAUGAUUCCACAUAUUUAAGGAGGUCUUAGGGGCCUGAAUCAAGGAGAACUAAUUGUACAUAAUUAAGAAAAUCCUUAAUUUAAGGGAUUUGAUUGUAAUAGACCCUGUGACGUUUGUAUAUAUAUGUAAUAAACUGAAUGGGA